CCUACGGGUGGCAGCAGUGGGGAAUAUUGGACAAUGGGGGGAACCCUGAUCCAGCAAUGCCGCGUGUGUGAAGAAGGCCUGAGGGUUGUAAAGCACUUUCAGUGGGGAGGAGGAUUGAUUGGUUAAGAGCUGGUUAGUUGGACGUUACCCACAGAAGAAGCACCGGCUAACUCCGUGCCAGCAGCCGCGGUAAUACGGAGGGUGCGAGCGUUAAUCGGAAUUACUGGGCGUAAAGGGUGCGUAGGUGGUUUAGUAAGUUAUCUGUGAAAUUCCUGGGCUUAACCUAGGGUGGUCAGAUAAGACUGCAAGACUCGAGUAUGGGAGAGGGUAGUGGAAUUUCCGGUGUAGCGGUGAAAUGCGUAGAGAUCGGAAGGAACACCAGUGGCGAAGGCGGCUACCUGGCCUAAUACUGACACUGAGGCACGAAAGCGUGGGGAGCAAACAGGAUUAGAUACCCCAGUAGUC
rnacentral:rRNA from 1 species